rnacentral:rRNA from 1 species
CACGUAGGCGGACCGGAAAGUUGGAGGUGAAAUCCCAGGGCUCAACCUGGAACUGCCUUCAAAACUAUCGGUCUGGAGUUCGAGAGAGGUGAGUGGAAUUCCGAGUGUAGAGGUGAAAUUCGUAGAUAUUCGGAGGAACACCAGUGGCGAAGGCGGCUCACUGGCUCGAUACUGACGCUGAGGUGCGAAAGCGUGGGGAGCAAACA